GACAUGAGAUCAGGCCAGCAAACCCGCUGAAUUUAAGCAUAUAAGUAAGCGGAGGACAGAAAACUAAACAGGAUUCCUUCAGUAAUGGCGAAUGAACAGGGAAUAGCUCAGCGUGAGAAUUGAGGCUUCCACGCCUUGACGUGUUGUCUGGAGAUGGACAUCCAACAUAGGUGCAGAUGAAAGUCUCUUGGAAGAGAGUGCCUGAGAGGGUGAGAGUCCCGUGUGACAUCUGUGUCCCUGUGUGUUCGGGUGUCUUUGCUGAGAGUCAUGUUUCUCGGGAUUGAAGCGUAAAAUUGGUGGUAAAUUCCAUCUAAAGCUAAAUAUUUACUCGAGACCGAUAGAAGACAAGUACCAUGAGGGAAAGAUGAAAAGGACUUUGGAAAGAGAGCUAACAGUGCCUGAACUUGCUGAAAGGAAAGCGAAUGGAACCAGCUAGAUGUGCAAGAUUGCAGUGUAAGAAACACUCUUUGUAAUGCCCUUAGCGCAAGCGGGGGUGCUACAGAGGUGUUGUUUCUUGCUCUGUGCUGCUUGCUGGCAGUGUCAUUCUCAGUGCUUCUGUAGGACAUCUGCUGUGAUGCUUGAACUUCAUUUGUGAAUGGAACGAAGCUCACCGUGGAGUCUACUGAGGUGCUGCUUUUUUGUGUUCCUUGCUCAGUUGAAACCUUCUGGUGAGAACCUUUUACGGGUCCUUUAUCAGGAGGCAGAUGCUUGCCUGAACACAAUCCUGAGUGGCAACGUGGUUCUAUUCUACCCGUCUUGAAACACGGACCAAGGAGUCUAACACGUGUGCAAGUUUCAAACUAACAAUGUUCUGUUGCGAAAUGAAAAUGAUUGCUGUGAUUGCAUUCAGCAGCUUCCAACCAAUUGCUUGUGAGAGGUUUGAGUGUGAGCACACUUGUUAGGACCCGAAAGAUGGUGAACUAUGCCUGAGAAGGGCAAGCUCAGGGGAAACUCUGAUGGAGGCUCGCAGCGUUACUGACGUGCAAAUCGUUCGUCAUACUUGGGUAUAGGGGCGAAAGACUAAUCGAACCAUCUAGUAGCUGGUUCCCUCCGAAGUUUCCCUCAGGAUAGCUGGAGCUAUAGAGUUUUAUCAAGUAAAGCGAAUGAUUAGAGGACUCGGGGGCGUGCUGUCCUCGACCUAUUCUCAAACUUUAAAUGGGUAAGAUCCAGUGGUUUCUUCUCUGAACUUCUGGGAUAAAUGUAAGCUCUAAGUGGGCCAUUUUUGGUAAGCAGAAUUGGCGAUGAGGGAUGAACCUAACGCUGUGUUAAGGUGCUGAACUGCUCGCUCAUCAGAUGCCACAAAGGGUGUUGGUUCAUUUUGACAGCAGGACGGUGGUCAUGGAAGUCGAAAUCCGCUAAGGAGUGUGUAACAACU
rnacentral:rRNA from 1 species